UGCUUUUUGAAAAUAUAAAAAGUAAUACCUGCCCAAUGAAUUAUUUAAAUGGCCGCAGUAUUUUGACUGUGCAAAGGUAGCAUAAUCAUUUGUUUUAUAAAUUAAAACUUGUAUGAAUGGAAAAAUGUAAAUAUAACUGUCUUUUAUUUAUAUAUAAAAUUUGCUUUUUCAGUGAAGAAGCUGAACUAUUUUAAAAAGACGAAAAGACCCUAUGAGUUUUAAAUAUCUAUGUAAUUUUUAUCUUAAAUAUUUUUAAUUGGGGCGAUUAAAGAAUAUAUCUUCUUUUAAAAAUUUAAAAUUAUAAUUUUUGAUCCAUUAUUAAUGAAUAAAAGCUUAAAUUACCAUAGGGAUAACAGCAUAAUUUUUUUUAAGAGUACUUAUUGACAAAAAAGAUUGUGACCUCGAUGUUGGUUUAAGAAAAUUUUAUAAUGAAGCAGUUAUAAAAAUAAGUUUGUUCAACUUUUAAAUUCUUACA
rnacentral:rRNA from 1 species